GAUGGUGCAGCUCAGUGAUAAAGCACUUGCCUGGCAUGAGCAAAGUCUUGGGUUUAAUUCCCAGCACCACUA
rnacentral:tRNA from 1 species